rnacentral:rRNA from 1 species
GACGAACGCUGGCGGCGUGCCUAAUACAUGCAAGUCGAACGCUUCUUUCCUCCCGAGUGCUUGCACUCAAUUGGAAAGAGGAGUGGCGGACGGGUGAGUAACACGUGGGUAACCUACCCAUCAGAGGGGGAUAACACUUGGAAACAGGUGCUAAUACCGCAUAACAGUUUAUGCCGCAUGGCAUAAGAGUGAAAGGCGCUUUCGGGUGUCGCUGAUGGAUGGACCCGCGGUGCAUUAGCUAGUUGGUGAGGUAACGGCUCACCAAGGCCACGAUGCAUAGCCGACCUGAGAGGGUGAUCAGCCACACUGGGACUGAGACACGGCCCAGACUCCUACGGGAGGCAGCAGUAGGGAAUCUUCGGCAAUGGACGAAAGUCUGACCGAGCAACGCCGCGUGAGUGAAGAAGGUUUUCGGAUCGUAAAACUCUGUUGUUAGAGAAGAACAAGAACGUUAGUAACUGAACGUCCCCUGACGGUAUCUAACCAGAAAGACACGGCUAACUACGUG